CAUCUAGCAGCAGAAUGGUCCCCAACUGCCCCUAUAUGCUUUCAUUUCAGCCAGAGAGGAUAACAUACAUUAGUAGCAACUGACUAUAUAUGGAGGAAAAGGAACAACGUUUAUAGACAGAAAGUAUAGAUAGGCACCUGUCAUUUCUAACACAUGCCAAAUGUCUCUGAACCCAUGCUUUCCCUAUAUGCUUUCAUUUGGAUUAAUGUAUAGUUAGGUGACCACUGCACCCAUUCUGUCCUGAGCUUCAUUAUUCUCUCCAACUACAGAGUAAGAGGAUUGGGGCUAAAAGACCAAGGAAAAAAGUGGGUGCGUAGAUCCACGGAGGGCCAAACUACAGGCUGCACUCAAAUACGCGAUUUGGCCCUUCCUUCCUUUGCAAGGGGACCCAGCUGGGAUCACAGUCCUGAUCACAGUCCCCAUGGCAGAUCACAGUCCCCAUGGCAGAGAAAAAGAGCUAAAAAAAACCCCACCCUCACAAUGCAGUCCCAACUGGGCCUUCCCACAAAUGCUAUUUUCUUUCCUUUUUUUAAGGCAUGCAAGGGCAAACGACAUGUUCAGCCUAUGAUGUAGUUAGAUGUUCCCAAGGACAAUAUCCGAGACAGUAGACGUUUACUAUUUACAUUGUGCAGAAGUAAAGGCAGGUUAGACUGAGUGUUGGACUCCGGCUGUGAAGACCCAGAUUUAAGUCUGCACUCAACCAUGAAGCUCUCUGGUGACCUAAAAUCUCUCAGCUCAACUUAUCUUGCAAGGUUAUUGUGAGUCUUAAAUAAGGAAAGUCCCAGUCAUGUAUGCCAGGCCUUGACCAUUUUUUUCUGUAUCUAGGAGCCAGCCCAAAAAUUUAGGAGCCAGACAAUGGACACUUGGGGGGAAAAAAUUACAGAAAUUAGUGAUGGACUUUGUGGGGGAUGGAUUGUAAAUGGGCUUCUCUUUACCCCUUUUACAAGGAACAUACUUCAAACAGGAUCAGGGCUACCUGGGAACAAUAAAGAUUUUAUUAAAUCACUCUACCUCUGAAUAUCUUAGUCUAGGCACCACAGUUCAGUUUCUAGCCAUCAUGGCUCCUUGAUGUCUCGGAUUUUUCAAGCCCUUAUGUAUGCCACCCUGAGCUCUUUGGAGGAAGGGUGAGAUGUAAAUUAUUUAUUAUUGAUAAUAAUAUGCUGUCAAAAAAUUAAACACGUAGAAAACCA